ACGAACGCUGGCGGCGUGCCUAAUACAUGCAAGUCGAGCGGACUUGAUGGAGAGCUUGCUCUCCUGAGAGUUAGCGGCGGACGGGUGAGUAACACGUAGGUAACCUGCCUGUAAGACUGGGAUAACUACCGGAAACGGUAGCUAAUACCGGAUAAUUCAAAUCACCGCAUGGUGGCGUGAUGAAAGACGGAGCAAUCUGUCACUUAUGGAUGGGCCUGCGGCGCAUUAGCUAGUUGGUGGGGUAACGGCUCACCAAGGCGACGAUGCGUAGCCG
rnacentral:rRNA from 1 species